GAUGAACGCUGGCGGCGUGCCUAAUACAUGCAAGUCGAGCGAACAGAUGAGGAGCUUGCUCCUCUGACGUUAGCGGCGGACGGGUGAGUAACACGUGGAUAACCUACCUAUAAGACUGGGAUAACUUCGGGAAACCGGAGCUAAUACCGGAUAAUAUAUUGAACCGCAUGGUUCAAUAGUGAAAGACGGUUUUGCUGUCACUUAUAGAUGGAUCCGCGCCGCAUUAGCUAGUUGGUAAGGUAACGGCUUACCAAGGCAACGAUGCGUAGCCGACCUGAGAGGGUGAUCGGCCACACUGGAACUGAGACACGGUCCAGACUCCUACGGGAGGCAGCAGUAGGGAAUCUUCCGCAAUGGGCGAAAGCCUGACGGAGCAACGCCGCGUGAGUGAUGAAGGUCUUCGGAUCGUAAAACUCUGUUAUUAGGGAAGAACAAAUGUGUAAGUAACUAUGCAUGUCUUGACGGUACCUAAUCAGAAAGCCACGGCUAACUACGCG
rnacentral:rRNA from 1 species